ACGGGUGCCGGGUGGAGCGAAGCACGGAAUGUGUCUCCUGCUGGGGGCCACGGGCGUCGGGAAGACGCUGCUGGUGAAACGGCUGCAGGAGGUGAGCUCCCGGGAUGGGAAAGGCGACCUGGGGGAGCCGCCCCCGACACGGCCCACGGUAGGUGUCCGCCCCCGCGGGUGGAGUUGCGGGGGGUCAGUUCUGCGCCUGGCGAAGAGCUCCGGGCUCCUGUAAGUGCACGCCGAAGCGCAGCGGGUCAGGUCGUGACCUAAGGUCAGCCUUCGGGAGCGGGGGACGGCCCGAGCUGAGGAUAAUUGGCGCGGGAUGAGGGGGCCUGCCGCCCUCCACGGGCACUUUCUCUCCCCUCGCAACGGGUUCCUGUGGCUGGUCGCCCCCACAGCGAGUCCAGCUACUGAUGGGCGUCGGUCCCUGCUCGCCGUCCCUGCGUUAGGGAGAAUGGGUCUGCGGGGUUCAGGCCACCGUGUAAGGUGUGGGCACGGUGCUCUUCAGGAGUUCACAACGGGACAGCGCUUGUAUUGUUCUCUUUGCAUCGUGGUUUUUCCUAUAGGUGGGCACCAAUCUUACUGACAUCGUGGCACAGAGAAAGAUCACCAUCCGGGAGCUUGGGGGGUGCAUGGGCCCCAUCUGGUCCAGUUACUAUGGAAACUGCCGUUCUCUCCUGGUGGGUUGUAAUCCUAUAUGGGCUUCCUUUAGGGAAGUGUGUCUACAUUUCUGUGACGUCCAGUCCCCAACCUUGCUGUGUGUAGAAAGGGGUUUGGGUUAUUUAGUGACUAUACUACUCAUGGAAAUAGGUCUUAGCUAGUGUUGCUUCCUGCUGGGCACCCCGUCUGGUUUCUGGUGCUUGCGCUCCCAGGCCCCCGGUAGGAGCUCACAGAGGGCUUGCUGAGGGCAGGGCUGCUGCUCUGCAGAGAACAGACUUAGCCCUCUGUGUCACUCCCCGGUACGUCUGUGUUUAUGUUGGACUUAUACGUACCUCUGGUUGGUCUCAUCUUGAUAAGGCCUGUGCCGCGGAUUCCAGUAUGGAGAACUGAUGGCCACAUGAGGACAGAGACGAGUGACACCAGGUCGUCUUCAUAAAACUCGAUUCCCUCUGCUUCUGCUUGUUCCCAAAGCUUUGUUUAAAGCUACUUUGGGCUGGGCGCGGUGGCUUACUCCUGUAAUCCCAGCACUUUAGGAAGCUGAGGUGGGCGAAAAUCACGAGGUCAGGAGAUGGAGACCAUCCUGACUAACAUGGUGAAACCCCGUCUCUACUAAAAGUACAAAAAAUUAGCCAGGCGUGGUGGCGGGUGUCUGUAGUCCCAGUUACUUGGGAGGCUGAGGCAGGAGAAUCACUUGAACCCUGAACCCUGGAGGCGGAGUUUCAGUGAGCCGAGAUCGUGCCACUGCACUCGGAGCGAGACUCCGUCUCAAAAAAUAAAUUAAUUAAUUAAAAAAUGCAGUUUUGCUCUCCCAGUGCCAGGCCUGUGAGGCCCAGGGGAGGAAGUUUGGCAGCGGGGCAUUGCUGCUGUCUUUUUCUUUUUCCCCAGUUUGUGAUGGACGCCUCUGACCCCACCCAGCUCUCUGCAUCCUGUGUGCAACUCUUAGGUCUCCUUUCUGCAGAACAACUUGCAGAAGCAUCGGUGCUGAUACUCUUCAAUAAAAUCGACCUACCCUGUUACAUGUCCACGGAGGAGAUGAAGUCAUUAAUCAGGCUUCCAGACAUCAUUGCUUGUGCCAAGCAGAACAUCACCACGGCAGAAAUCAGCGCCCGUGAAGGCACUGGCUUAGCAGGGGUGCUGGCCUGGCUCCAGGCCACCCACAGAGCCAACGAUUGACUGCACGGCAGAGGCGCGGCUGGCCUGAGCUGGGGAGAGGUGGCAGAGGGCAGUAUGGCUUUGCUGCCAAUAGUUUCUUCUCACAGGGGCAGAAUAACCCAAAGUAACCCUACAUGAUGGGGCUCUGCGCUGAGAUGCAAUGAUGCGUAAACUGAGGCAUGUGGAGAUGGAAGUUGACAUCUGGCCUCUGAAAAAAGUGUCCCCAGGGGCCAGGCAUGGUGGCUCACACCCGUAAUCCCAGCACUUUGAGAGGCCGAGGCGGGCGUAUCACCUGAGGUCGGGAGUUCGAGACUGGCCUGACCAACAUGGAGAAACCCUGUCUCUACUAAAAAUACAAAAUUAGCUGGGUGUGGUGGUGCAUGGCUGUAAUCCUAGCUACUUGGGAGGCUGAGGCAGGAGAAUCCCUUGAACCUGGGAGGUGGAGGUUGCAGUGAGUCGAGAUCAUGCCAUUGCACUCCACCUGGGCAACAAGAGUGAAACUCCGUCUUAAAAAAAAUAAGAAAUAAAAAAAUAAAAACCUG
rnacentral:sRNA from 1 species